rnacentral:lncRNA from 10 species
GGCUGGAGCUGGCUUACCAGGCCCGUGGGGGCUCUUCAGGGAGGCUCCACGGCCCAGAGUCUUCCCACAGCGACUUCUCUUUGGAUGGAACGUGGUCCCCAUCUGCCUUCUCCUGAGGAAUCUCUGCUCAUCCUCACUCCCCCUCGCAGAGGUCUCUUCCUCCUCACUGAGUGCCCAUCAGGCGUCCUCCUCAUCCCUCCCCUCCAGACCUAGAGCUUUUGCUCGCCCUGAACCAGGAGUGCUUGGAGCCUGGCCUAGCCCACCACAGGCCUACCUCAGUGAGUGUGACUGACUGACCAGGUGACUGACAGUCACUCUCUCCACUUUACACGUGAGGAGAUUGCCGUUCCGGGGACUGACGGGACCCCUGUAAGGUCACGCGGCCUGUCAGUAAAGGAGCUACUGAAGAGGGAAAAGUGGCAUUUUCCCUCUUACCACGCCCCACUCUUCUUGGUUGAGGAGGACCAAGUUGGGCACACAUCUCAAGACUGACUAAAGCAAGAUUUGGAUGAAGGUAGAUAUGUGUAAUUGUAAUUAUAAAUAAUGGAUAAGCAGAGCCUGACUAGAAAAAAUAAAAAAUACAAUCUAGCUUUGAAGAAUCAGAAAGAGGAUGGAGAGACUGAAGAUGAUAGUGUUUAGAACCUUAAUGAAGACAUGAAGAAGACCCUUUUGCUACUUGGAAGACAUGAACUCAGGGCAAUCAAAUAAGGGGUUAUAUACCCGCAGAAUAUAUUAUUUUUAAUGGGUUGUGUUGUCUGGAAAUGUAAAGUGUUUUUCUCAACGCUUCUAUCAUUUAUAAAAUAAUCUCAACAUUUUGGGAAAGUUGAGCCAUGAGGCCCUUCUGCCUAUGUCGACCAGUAGACCAUCAUGGGCCUGGUAGGCUUGAUCUGAAUGCCCAUAGGUCACUAUUAUUAAGCAGCAGGCUCUGCCAGCUCCUUUGAAGUCUGAAGUGGGUCAGGACACUUGUUUCAGGGCCAGCUGCAUUGGAAGGAAGAAUUGAACUAGAGGGAGUUUUCAGAAAUUCUAGGGGAAUUUUCACAAGUGAUGCUAUAAUCUGAGAUGCAUUUAAAUUCAGAAGGAGGACUUUAGCUUUCAGAGCUGGGUGGGUGCACCAGAUGCCCGCAGGGUCAGCAGAUAAUGUCUAUGCCUGAAGUGGCCCCAUGUGGAGACAGUGGGGAUUGGAAAGUUCAUGCCAAAGUGCACAAUGGCUACCCGACCCCUUGCCUUGUGGAAAGGUGGGCCUUGUGUUGCCAGGACCAGAUUGCUAACUGAAAUCUCCUGAUUUCUAUUUUCAAGUGUGGCAACUGGCUUGGUUUUUACAAAACACCACGGGAAGCCCAGUCAAAAUGUCUUCAUGGGCUGGAUCACUCCUGGCCAUCACUUUGUGAUGAACAAUCUGACAGGCUUUUGGCCACUUGUCUCCUUCAAGAUUAUUGUUUGGAGUGGGCAUGCUAAGACUUUGAAGGAUUCUUUUAUGGUUGAAUAAUAUUUUCUUCAAGUUAAAACUUAUCUGGAAAAAAGCAACCCUGUUUUACUGGGAGUGGAGGUGAAGGUAUUAGCUCCAGGAAGCUCCUUGAAAAUCACUGUUCUCAAACUUGAAACCAGGAUUCCUAUAUUUUGAAUUCCCCUUCAAAGUUGAAAGGGCACAUGGUCUCUCACACUUAGUGGUCCUGCCUCCUUGGACUCGUCUGCAAAAUAAAAAUAAUAGGACCUACUUAUCUGGGCUAUUAAAAGGAUUAUGUAAAUUAAUACAUGGAAAGUACUUAGAACAGGGCCAGGCAUAUGGCAAGUGCUCAUUAAAUAUCAUCCACUUAUACUUGUCAAUAUUAGGGUUACCUCCUGGGCUUCCCGUGUCACCACUUUAAUUACAUUCCUUCAAACACUUCUAAUUUUUUUUUUUAAUGUGUAAGCCAGCUGCUUUGUCCCUUUCUAGACCUUCGGUUUAUUUUCUUCAUAAAAAAAUAGGAGUUAUAUUAGAAACCAAGCUUAGAAACCAAACCUAGCUAAUUUGUCUUUGCAUUGCCAGCCUGAGUUAGGUCCCUUAAUGCUGCCAUCUUUGGUUUAAAAGCUGGGGACACAGGCGAGUCUGUGUGACUUUGUAAAAUUCUUAAUCAUCAGGACACACACAAGACUCAAGCUUCUGAAACUGAGCAGAGGAGAGGGUGAUGGUGGUGGUGCUGUAUCCCCAGGGUGCACAGAGCAGGUAAUUGAAAGUCACAUAAUAUUCAUUAUGCAUCUUCAAGAGAAAGAUCAGAGGGUGAGUCCAUUAAUCCCCCACUUCCUUCUUUGUUAUAGAUAACUGAUGUCUUCUCAAUCUUAUGCAGUGUUCUUAAAAAAUCAUUUCCAGGUCGGGUGCAGUGGCUCACACCUGUAAUCCCAGAACUUUGGGAGGCUG